rnacentral:rRNA from 1 species
ACUCCUACGGGAGGCAGCAGUGGGGAAUUUUGCGCAAUGGGGGAAACCCUGACGCAGCAACGCCGCGUGAGUGAUGAAGGCUUUCGGGUCGUAAAGCUCUGUCAGAAGGGAAGAAAUGUGGGUGGCUAAUAUCCAUACCACUUGACGGUACCUUCAAAGGAAGCACCGGCUAACUCCGUGCCAGCAGCCGCGGUAAUACGGAGGGUGCGAGCGUUGUUCGGAAUUAUUGGGCGUAAAGCGCGUGUAGGCGGUUUUUUAAGUCUGAUGUGAAAGCCCCGGGCUCAACCUGGGAAGUGCAUUGGAUACUGGAAGACUUGAGUACGGGAGAGGGUAGUGGAAUUCCUAGUGUAGGAGUGAAAUCCGUAGAUAUUAGGAGGAACACCGGUGGCGAAGGCGGCUGCCUGGACCGAUACUGACGCUGAGACGCGAAAGCGUGGGGAGCAAACAGGAUUAGAUACCCUGGUAGUCCACGCCGUAAACGAUGAGAACUAGGUGUUGCGGGUA